rnacentral:rRNA from 1 species
UACAGAAGCUUGCUUCGUGGUGGGCUACCCUACUCCGGUAGGGUUUAGAGUCGUCGGGCCUCUCGGAGAAGCCCGGUCCUGACCUCCACCCUUGAAUAAAUUACCUUUGUUGCUUUGGCGGGUCGCCCUGCGCCAGCGGCUUCGGCUGUUGAGUGCCCGCCAGAGGACCACAACUCGUGUUUUUAGUGAUGUCUGAGUACUAUAUAAUAGUUAAAACUUUCAACAACGGAUCUCUUGGUUCUGGCAUCGAUGAAGAACGCAGCGAAAUGCGAUAAGUAAUGUGAAUUGCAGAAUUCAGUGAAUCAUCGAAUCUUUGAACGCACAUUGCGCCCUCUGGUAUUCCGGGGGGCAUGCCUGUUCGAGCGUCAUUAUAACCACUCAAGCUCUCGCUUGGUAUUGGGGUUCGCGAUCUCGCGGCCCCUAAAAUCAGUGGCGGUGCCUGUCGGCUCUACGCGUAGUAAUCUCUCUCGCGAUUGAGUCCGGCGGGUCUGCUCGCCAGCAACCCCUAAAU